rnacentral:hammerhead_ribozyme from 1 species
ACCUUGCUGACGAGUGCUAAGUAGCACGAAACCCGAGUCCAGGGU